rnacentral:rRNA from 1 species
GUGAACCAGCGGAGGAUCAUUA